rnacentral:rRNA from 1 species
UAGGGAAUCUUCCGCAAUGGGCGAAAGCCUGACGGAGCAACGCCGCGUGAGUGAUGAAGGUCUUCGGAUCGUAAAACUCUGUUAUUAGGGAAGAACAAAUGUGUAAGUAACUAUGCACGUCUUGACGGUACCUAAUCAGAAAGCCACGGCUAACUACGUGCCAGCAGCCGCGGUAAUACGUAGGUGGCAAGCGUUAUCCGGAAUUAUUGGGCGUAAAGCGCGCGUAGGCGGUUUUUUAAGUCUGAUGUGAAAGCCCACGGCUCAACCGUAGAGGGUCAUUGGAAACUGGAAAACUUGAGUGCAGGAGAGGAAAGUGGAAUGCCAUGUGUAGCGGUGAAAUGCGCAGAGAUAUGGAGGAACACCAGUGGCGAAGGCGACUUUCUGGUCUGUAACUGACGCUGAUGUGCGAAAGCGUGGGGAUCAAACAGG